UACUCUUUUAAGGGCAAGGAGCAAAUGAAUAAGCACUUUGUCAUAACUGCAGCGGUUUGCUAUCCUGUGGUGGAUUUGGGAAUAUAUUUGCUACAUUUCAUUGGAAAGUAGUAUGUUCGUCCAGCCUUCGUCCAGGUUCUGUCAGUUAGCUAAUAACCAAGACACUACGGUAAGUCAUAAUGUUAGCCCCUCUGGGAUUCAUUUGGUUGCUAUUUCGCAUAGCUUAUAACGGCUGGUUGGCUGUCAGUGGUUGGGCAGAUUCUUUUUAGGUAGAGGGCUAAGUGUGUCUACUCAACGAUAAAUUGAGGUUCAGUACACAGUGAGGCGAUAUACUUUCUAUACGGGCUGUGAUACUACUAGCCUAAUGCAGGACGCAACUGACACAAAUCUGAGAAAUUAGCUAACUAUAUCUAGCCGCUACCUGGCUCCACUCGACCUAGAAUUCAGUUCAUAACGACAGCAUUUUCGUUUGGGGUCCGCAAGCUGGCAUCUGGAGACUGUCUUCGGUUUCCACAAGUGUCAUGUUAGUUCUACAUACUGUAGGGGAGUCGACGGGCUUUCUUCUUUUUCUGUGUCAACUAGAACUAGUUUUAUGAGAGCAAGUGCUUGUGUUGUGUGACUUCUCCUGACUCCUGCGAUGUUCUUCCGAGCUCAGCUCACUGCGACUUGCACCUUUCACAAGUCCGAACUCUGAUAAAGGCAGAGGGAGGGAUAGCUCGCGCAUGAAAUAUUACCGGUGGACUUCUCUCCUCUGACCUGUUACCAAGACAGCUGGGUGUGUAGGAAACUGGAACUAAGUCACUGAAGAAGUAAACCGAUGAAAACCGAUUUGGAUUGUCUGAGAGAUCUGUAGGACACAAGUAAGAGGAGAAGAAUGCUGCUCAGCUGGGUCGGCGUCGGCCACACUACUUAUUCAAGAAGCCCUUGGAUAUCAUCGGCAUGUAUGAAGCACAGUCAUUCCGGUAGUCCGUUCCUCGAUGGACGUGAUGACCUGGCACCAAAACCGCUUAAAGUGUAUGGAGC